rnacentral:rRNA from 1 species
GCUUGUCUCAAAGAUUAAGCCAUGCAUGUCUAAGUAUAAAUCUUUUACUUUGAAACUGCGAACGGCUCAUUAUAUCAGUUAUAGUUUAUUUGAUAGUCCCUUACUACUUGGAUAACCGUAGUAAUUCUAGAGCUAAUACAUGCGUCAAUACCCUUCUGGGGUAGUAUUUAUUAGAUUGAAACCAACCGCUUCGGCGUGAUGUGGUGAUUCAUAAUAAAUUUGCGAAUCGCAUGGCUUUACGCCGGCGAUGGAUCAUUCAAGUUUCUGCCCUAUCAACUGUCGAUGGUACGUGCUAUGCCUACCAUGGUGAUAACGGGUAACGGGGAAUCAGGGUUCGAUUCCGGAGAGGGAGCAUGAGACACGGCUACCACAUCCAAGGAAGGCAGCAGG